GAAGUUAUUAGAUUUCAUUUUCGCGCUGUGGAAAUAUUUGAGCUUUUCCUCUUUCUCCGUUAUUAAAGGUUUGCUUCAUAAUCUAGUUCUGCAACCGAAGCAUGGGGAUUGCCAUGAGAUGAUUGACCCUUGAAACAACAAUGCCAAAUUCCUCAUUCAUGUCCAGUUCCUCUGGCGACAUAUCAUUUGGCAGCUGCCAAUCGAAGCAAUGGAUGUGACACAAUCUGUCGAACUUGGAUGAGCCCCAGUGGGAUUCCGGGGCAACCUCUCCUCCCAGAGCCAAAUGGGAGGAGCUGGAAAUGUUGUCCCCUGAGAUCAAUGUCACUGCCAAUGAACCUCUCUGGAAUGAAAAUCUCUGGAUCAGUCCAUACAUUUGGAUCGCGCCCAAUUGCAUAUGUGUUGACGAGUAUUCUUGAUUCGUUUUGUAUAUCAUAGCCAUUAACCUUGAUGUGUUCCCUAGAAUAGUGAGGAAUCAACAACUGGAUGCAUCCUGGAGGUUUCCUUGACAACCUUGUCGAGAUAUUCGAGUUGGUCCAGUUCUGAUAGCACCCACUCAACUGAUGCUGCUGCUGAGUCCAUUGAACCUGCGAGCAAGUCCUGCACAUGAUGAGAUCCAGCUCGAACAUGGUCUUCUAUAACUUUCUCAAAGAAAUCAUCAAAAACUUUUGCGAGUGCCGUCAUCUUCCUUGUCAGCCCUUGAAGAUCCAAGACUCCAAGGAAAGGAAAGUAAUCACCCAAAUUGGGAACUGCUGCUAGUUUCAUUGUUUCUUGGAUCACAGCUUUGAAGCCUCUGUCAUCUAUGUCUUUGUCAUCAUAUUUCUUACCAAACACCAUUCUGCAGCUCAUCCCUGCAGUCAGGGAUGCAACCUUGGCACUAAGAUCGACCACAAUGUGUAGUCUGGAAGCUUCCUUGAGGGAUUCAACAGAAAGACCAAGCUCUUCCCUUCUCAUAGAUCGGAAAGAACUGAUCUUAAGGGUGCUGAGCAGCUCCAAGGUGCAUAGCUUGCGCAUGUUCCGCCAAUACUGACUGUAAGCCCCAAAUCCCAGACUCUUCUGAUCCCAUGCCAGAUACUUAGCAGCCUGAUGAGGUGGUCUGCUGGAAAAAAUAAGAUCGUGUGUCUUAAGGAAUAGCUCAGCUGCCUCAGGAGAUGAAACGACGAUGAUUGGAGCGAAUCCGAAUUGCAUGUACAUAAUGGGGCCGUGGUCUUUGGCAAUCCUUUGCAGGUCUUGGUGAGGAUUUUUUCCCCAGCAUGUGUAGAUUUCCCAGAAUAGGGAUCCCUUUUGGACCUGGAGGCAGUCUCUUAGUCUCCUUCCUCCUCGUCACCAACAAAAUCAACGAACCGGCUAAAAUGGCCAUGACAGUAAGCCACAACCAAUUCAGCAACCGAAGCGUGGGGAUUGCCAUGAGAUGAUUGACCCUUGAAACAAUAAGGCCAAAUUCCUCAUCCAUGUCCAGCUCCUUUGGCGACAUAUCAUUUGGCAGCUGCCAAUCGAAGCAGUGGACUAACUGUGACACGAUCAGUCGAACUUGGAUGAGCCCCAGUUGGAUUCCGGGGCAACCUCUCCUUCCAGACCCAAAUGGGAGGAGCUGGAAAUGCUGUCCCCAAACAUCAAUGUCACUGCCACUGAACCUCUCUGGAACAAACAUUUCUGGAUCAGUCCAUACUUUUGGAUCGCGUCCAAUUGCAUAUGUGUUGAUGAGUAUUCUUGAUUCUUUUGGUAUAUCAUAGCCAUUAACCUUGAUGUGUUCCAUAGAAUAGUGAGGAAUCAACAGUGGAGCCACUGGAUGCAGCCUAAAGCUUUCCUUUACAACCAUGUUGAGAUAUUCGAGUUUGUUCAGUUCUGAGAGUGUCCACUCAAUUGUUGCUGCUGCUGUGUCCAUUGAACCUAUGAGCAAGUCCUGCACAUGUAAUUCAUCACUAAGGAGUAAUGGCUUUUCCAAACAAGAAGUAGAAUGAUUCAUGUGCUUACCAGCAUCAUAGCCUUGAUAUUACAUCGAUCGAACUGAAACUCACAUUCUCCACUUUGCAUUAUGGACAUCAUGGUAUCAACAAUGUCUUUGGCCUGCUCAGGACGAUCCCCUGCUCGAACAUGGUCUUCUAUAACUUUGUCAAAGAAAACAUCAAAAACUUUUUCGAGUGCCUUCAUCUUCCUUGUCAACCCUUGGAGAUCCAAGAUUCCAAGGAAAGGAAAGUAAUCACCCAGAUUGGGAACUGCUCCUAGUUUCAUCGUUUCUUGGAUCACAGCUUUGAAGCCUCUGUCAUCUAUGUCUUUGUCAUCAUAUUUCUUGCCAAACACCAUUCUGCAGCUCAUCUCUGCGGUCAGGGACGCGACCUUGGCACUAAGAUCGACAGUAGAGUUUAGUUUGGAAGCUUCCUUGAGGGAUUCAACGAAAAGACCAAGUUCUUCCCUUCUCAUAGGUUGGAAAGAAUUGAUCUUAAGGGUGCUGAGCAGCUCCAAGGUGCAUAGUUUGCGCAUGUUCCGCCAAUACGGACUGUAAGGCCCAAAUACCAGAUUCCUCUGAUCCCAUGAGAGAUACUUAGAAGCCUCGUGAGGUGGUCUGCUUGCAAAAACAAGAUCAUGUGUCUUGAGGAAAAGCUCAGCUGCCUGUGGAGAUGAAACAAUGAUGUUUGGAACGAACCCGAAUUGCAUGUGCAUAAUCGGGCCGUGGUCUUUGGCAAUCCUGUGCAGGUCCUGGUGAGGAUUCUUCCCCAGCAUGUGUAGGUUUCCCAGAAUAGGGAUCCCUUUUGGGCCUGGAGGCAGUCUCCUCGUCUUCUUCCUCCUCCUCACCAACGUAACUAAAGAACCAGCUAAAAUGGCCAUGACCGUAAGCCAAAUCCAGAAUGUUUUCAGGAAGCGAAUUCUUACAAGUUUACUUCAUAAUCUAGUUCAGCAACCGAAGCGUGGGGAUUGCCAUGAGAUGAUUGACCCUUGAAACAAUAAGGCCAAAUUCCUCAUCCAUGUCCAGCUCCUUUGGCGACAUAUCAUUUGGCAGCUGCCAAUCGAAGCAGUGGACUAACUGUGACACGAUCAGUCGAACUUGGAUGAGCCCCAGUUGGAUUCCGGGGCAACCUCUCCUCCCAGACCCAAAUGGGAGGAGCUGGAAAUGUUGUCCCCAAACAUCAAUGUCACUGCCACUGAACCUCUCUGGAACAAACAUCUCUGGAUCAGUCCAUACAUUUGGAUCUCGCCCAAUUGCAUAUGUGUUGAUGAGUAUCCUUGAUUCUUUUGGUAUAUCAUAGCCAUUAACCUUGAUGUGUUCCAUAGAAUAGUGAGGAACCAACAGUGGAACCACUGGAUGCAGCCUAAAGCUUUCCUUCACAACCAUGUUGAGAUAUUCGAGUUUGUACAGAUCAGACUCCUCAACUAUCCUCUUUAAUCCCACAACUUCUUCCAACUCUUUCUGUAGUUUCUUCAUAACUUUUGGGUUUCUCAGCAGUUCUGAGAGUGUCCACUCAAUUGCUGCUGCAGCUGUGUCCAUUGAACCUACGAGCAAGUCCUGCACAUGUAAUUCAUUACUAAGGAGUAAUAGUUUUUCCAAACAAGAAGUAGAAUGAUUCAUGUGCUUACCAGCAUCAUAGCCUUGAUAUUACGUCGAUCAAACUGAAACUCACAUUCUCCACUUUGCAUUAUGGACAUCAUGGUAUCAACAAUGUCUUUGGCCUGCUCAGGAUGAUCCCCUGCUCGAACAUGGUGUUCUAUAACCUUCUCAAAGAAACCGUCAAAAACUUUUGCGAGUGCCUUCAUCUUCCUUGUCAGCCCUUGGAGAUCCAAGAUUCCAAGGAAAGGAAAGUAAUCUCCCAGAUUGGGAACUGCUCCUAGUUUCAUCGUUUCUUGGAUCACUGCUUUGAAGCCUCUGUCAUCUAUGUCUUUGUCAUCAUACUUCUUACCAAACACCAUUUUGCAGCUCAUCUCUGCAGUCAGGGACGCGACCUUGGCACUAAGAUCGACAGUAGAGUUCAGUUUGGAAGCUUCCUUGAGGGAUUCAACGAAAAGACCAAGUUCUUCCCUUCUCAUAGGUUGGAAGGAAUUGAUCUUAAGGGUGCUGAGAAGCUCUAAGGUGCAUAGUUUCCGCAUGUUCCGCCAAUACGGACUGUAAGGCCCAAAUACCAGAUUCCUCUGAUCCCAUGAGAGAUACUUAGAAGCCUCGUGAGGUGGUCUGCUUGCAAAAACAAGAUCAUGUGUCUUGAGGAAAAGCUCAGCUGCCUGUGGAGAUGAAACGAUGAUGUUUGGAACGAAUCCGAAUUGCAUGUACAUAAUCGGGCCAUGAUCUUUGGCAAUCCUGUGCAGGUCCUGGUGAGGAUUCUUCCCCAGCAUGUGUAGGUGUCCCAGAAUAGGGAUCCCUUUUGGGCCUGGAGGCAGACUCUCCGCCUUCUUCCUCCUCCUCCGCACCAACGUAACUAAAGAACCAGCUAAAAUGGCCAUGACCGUAAGCCAAAUCCAGGGGAGAAAGAGGACGCGGACAAGGACAAGGAGGAGGAGUGGAUCUAAGGUUUGAAGAAUCUUGGCCAUGGUGGGACUGGCGAUAUUAGAUUUAAUUAUCUCUAAAUAUAGAGGAAUAAUACAACAGAAAUGGAAAAACUAUUAAAUUUUGUCAGAGGCAGCCCAACUUGCCUCGAGAUUCUUCAACAUGAUUUUGUGCUUAUUGGAGCAAAUGGGCUUAACAAAAUUAUUCGAUUUUGAAAUUUUUUUAAAA